GACGAACGCUGGCGGCGUGCUUAACACAUGCAAGUCGAACGGAAAGGCCCUGCUUUUGUGGGGUGCUCGAGUGGCGAACGGGUGAGUAACACGCGAGUAACCUGCCCUUGACUUUGGGAUAACUUCAGGAAACUGGGGCUAAUACCGGAUAGGAGCUCCUGCUGCAUGGGGGGGGUUGGAAAGUUUCGGCGGUUGGGGAUGGACUCGCGGCUUAUCAGCUUGUUGGUGGGGUAGUGGCUUACCAAGGCUUUGACGGGUAGCCGGCCUGAGAGGGUGACCGGCCACAUUGGGACUGAGAUACGGCCCAGACUCCUACGGGAGGCAGCAGUGGGGAAUAUUGCACAAUGGGCGGAAGCCUGAUGCAGCAACGCCGCGUGCGGGAUGACGGCCUUCGGGUUGUAAACCGCUUUCGCCUGUGACGAAGCGUGAGUGACGGUAAUGGGUAAAGAAGCACCGGCUAACUACGUG
rnacentral:rRNA from 1 species